rnacentral:rRNA from 1 species
GCAGCAGCCACGGUAAUACGGGGGGGGCAAGUGUUAUUCGGAAUGACUGGGCGUAAAGGGCACGUAGGCGGUGAAAAGGGUGGAAAGUGAAAGUCGCCAAAACACUGGCGGGGUGCUUUCUUGACCAUUUCACUUGAGUGAGAUAGGGGAGAGUGGAAUUUCGUGUGGAGGGAUCAAAUCCUAAGAUAUACGAAGGAACGCCAACCGCGAAGGCAGCUCUCUGGGUCCCCACUGACGCUGGGGUGCGAAAGCAUGGGGAGCAAACAGGAUCAGAUACCCCUGUAGUCCCUGUCUCUUAUACA